rnacentral:rRNA from 1 species
UACGUAGGGUGCGAGCGUUAAUCGGAAUUACUGGGCGUAAAGCGUGCGCAGGCGGUUCGUUAUGUCCGAUGUGAAAGCCCCGAGCUCAACUUGGGAAUGGCAUUGGAAACUGGCGGGCUGGAGUGUGGCAGAGGGGGGUGGAAUUCCACGUGUAGCAGUGAAAUGCGUAGAGAUGUGGAGGAACACCGAUGGCGAAGGCAAUCCCCUGGACCUGUACUGACGCUCAUGCACGAAAGCGUGGGGAGCAAACAGG